UACGUAGGUGGCAAGCGUUGUCCGGAUUUACUGGGCGUAAAGAGCGCGCAGGCGGUCGUUCAAGUCGCGUGUGAAAGCCCUCGGCUCAACCGAGGAAUUGCCUUGGAUACUGCGGGGCUCGAGGCUGGAAGAGGACAGUGGAAUUCCCGGUGUAGCGGUGAAAUGCGUAGAUAUCUGGAGGAAUACCGGUGGCGAAGGCGGCAUCCUGGACCGGCAUUGACGCUGAUGAGCGAAAGCUAGGGGAGCAAACGGG
rnacentral:rRNA from 1 species